GACGAACGCUGGCGGCGUGCUUAACACAUGCAAGUCGAACGGAAAGGCCCUGCUUGCCGGGUACUCGAGUGGCGAACGGGUGAGUAACACGUGGGUGAUCUGCCCUGCACUUCGGGAUAAGCUUGGGAAACUGGGUCUAAUACCGGAUAGGAGCCAUCUUUAGUGUGGUGGUUGGAAAGUUUUUUCGGUGUAGGAUGAGCUCGCGGCCUAUCAGCUUGUUGGUGGGGUAAUGGCCUACCAAGGCGGCGACGGGUAGCCGGCCUGAGAGGGUGUACGGCCACAUUGGGACUGAGAUACGGCCCAGACUCCUACAGGAGGCAGCAGUGGGGAAUAUUGCACAAUGGGCGCAAGCCUGAUGCAGCGACGCCGCGUGGGGGAUGAAGGCCUUCGGGUUGUAAACUCCUUUCGCUAGGGACGAAGCUUUUUUGUGACGGUACCUAGAUAAGAAGCACCGGCUAACUACGUG
rnacentral:rRNA from 1 species